rnacentral:lncRNA from 1 species
UUCUCCUUUUUUCCCCAGUAUUUUACUUAUCUUCAUUGCUUGAUUAGGUUCGAUGAGUCACUGGAUUAAGCAUGAAUAGGAUCUCCCCUAUUUCAUGUCUUCCAUUCCUUUAUUUAUUUCAGCUCCAUCGACGAACAUUGGCCAAGGUUGUGGUCAGGGUUGCCACCAUGGCUGUCGACAGGCACCACCUUGGGUCGUC